rnacentral:rRNA from 1 species
UAAGGAAUAUUGGUCAAUGGACGCAAGUCUGAACCAGCCAUGCCGCGUGGAGGAUUAAGGCCCUCUGGGUUGUAAACUCCUUUUAUCUGGGAAGAAAUGUACUUUUUCUUGAGUACUUGACGGUACCAGAGGAAUAAGCACCGGCUAACUCCGUGCCAGCAGCCGCGGUAAUACGGAGGGUGCAAGCGUUAUCCGGAUUCACUGGGUUUAAAGGGUGCGUAGGUGGGCAGGUAAGUCAGUGGUGAAAUCUCCGGGCUUAACCCGGAAACUGCCGUUGAUACUAUUUGUCUUGAAUAUUGUGGAGGUAAGCGGAAUAUGUCAUGUAGCGGUGAAAUACUUAGAUAUGACAUAGAACACCAAUUGCGAAGGCAGCUUACUACACAAUCAUUGACGCUGAGGCACGAAAGCGUGGGGAUCAAACA